rnacentral:rRNA from 1 species
AUUGAACGCUGGCGGCAUGCCUUACACAUGCAAGUCGAACGGCAGCACGGGUGCUUGCACCUGGUGGCGAGUGGCGAACGGGUGAGUAAUACAUCGGAACAUGUCCUGUAGUGGGGGAUAGCCCGGCGAAAGCCGGAUUAAUACCGCAUACGAUCCACGGAUGAAAGCGGGGGACCUUCGGGCCUCGCGCUAUAGGGUUGGCCGAUGGCUGAUUAGCUAGUUGGUGGGGUAAAGGCCUACCAAGGCGACGAUCAGUAGCUGGUCUGAGAGGACGACCAGCCACCGGGGGCGUGAGACCCGGCCCAGCCCCCAGCGGGAGGCAGGAGUGGGGAAUUUUGGAAAAGGGGGGAAAGCCUGAUCCAGCAAGGCCGGGUGUGUGAAGAAGGCCUUGGGGUGGUAAAGCCCCUUUGUCGGGAAAAAAAUCCUUGGCUUUAAAACGGCCGGGGGUGGACGGAACCGGAAAAAGAAGCCCCGGUAAACUACGG